UACGACCAUGUCAUGUUGAAAGACCGGUUCUCGUACGAUCAUUGAAGUUAAGCAACGUUGAGACUGGUUAGUACCUAGAUGGGGGACCAAUUUGGAAUAGAAGAUGCUGUAAG